AGUUAAAAUUAAUAUCAAACAUAUGAUUAAAUCAACAUAAGGGUAUUUUGGUAAUUUGUUUGUUAAACUCAUUUGAAUGGAAAUGAAAAUAAAGAAACAAACAUAAGAUCUAUUUAGAUGAUUCAUCUAGAUGAGCUAUGUGGAUGGACAAACAAACAAUCACAAAAAUCUGAAUGGAUCAUUUGAAUAGAUCAUACAAAUGAAUCAUUUGAAUGGAAAUGACAAAUGGUGAAACAAACGGCCCCAAAGACAUAUGAAUGCAAUAUGGAUCCUAAAAGUGCUUAAUUCCUAAUCUAUAUGAUCAAUGUGUACAAUAUGGAUGGUUAAAAGAAUGCAAAUAUGCAAGAUAUCAACGAUGGUUUAUGGGUUUGUAUUUUACAAUAUGUUGACGUUAUUGGAUGCGUUUGGAUUUAUUACCUCUUAACCUCUUCUUCUGCUAGAUGACCAUAUCCUCUGUGUGUCGCUCACUGUUUUUCUUCUAAUGUAAGAAAAGGCAAUUCAUGUGCUCUACUUUAAUUGGGUUUGAAUUGCUUCACAAGAAUUCACAGCUUUUUAGAAUUUUAAUGUUGCUGAUACUUUGGGCAAUUGCCUCGACUAUCCAUGAUGUUGAAUUAUUUCCUCACCAGAGGUUUCUCUUAUUGGUUCUUUUUAUAUUUUCUUCAACUAAUAGCUUCUUUUUUUUUUAAUUGAAAAGCAGGUGUGCUGUUGGGAAUUGCUACAGUUUGUGUUAAGAUCACGAAGCUGCUCUUAAGAUGUUUCAGAUAGCUAUCCAACUGAAUUAAAGAUUCACCUAUGCACAUACCCUUUGUGGUCAUGCGUACAAUUUUUUCGGUUUGUCCGCUUUGUUCAUACUCUUAUUAAAUUAAACAAUCAAAAACAAGGCUGCCCUUUUCAUGUAUUUCUAUGUUCAUGUGAACCGUUUUGUAGAGGCCAGUGUAUCCAUCUUCUAUGCCGGUAAAAAGACUGGGACAAGCUGGAAGCUGAAGUGAAGACCAAGUUCCUCUUUUAGCUCCACAGAGGCGCUCAAGUGGAUACGCAGGAAUGGUGACAGAGAGAUAACAUUGGUAGCAGAGAGAAGCUCCAGAGAAAGCAGAGACAGAGCCAUUGGCUGGCCGAGUUAUCUUGAGAGGAAAAGAAGAAAGGCUCAAAGAUACGAGUUAAUUAUCAACAAAAUAUAGAGAAGCAGAGCUGAAUACUGGGGAGAUUCUCUUGCGUCUUGCAAGGAUAACAUAAGGAAAUUGAAUAGGACCUGACUGUGGCUAUGUGCUUAGUUUUGGUUUACUGAUUUUAAUCGCUUAUGAUCCUAAGUUGUGGAACUAGAAGCUACUCACGACUAUACUCUAUAGAAUUGCAGCGGUGGUGCCAUUAUAAUCUACAUGAACAUGCAUGUAACAAAAAUGAAGUGGCUCAAAUAAGAGAGUCAAAGCAAGAACCGUGGAUUGAAAGAGAGAGUGAUGGAAUUUAUGAGGAAACAAAGUAACACGUCACAUCACUCAAAUGAUUGUUUUGACCCAAGAAACUGAUGUGUUGUGAAUAUUUAGUUAAUGAAGGUCAAUUAUUUAUAAGUUCCAAAAGAAGAUCAAUUAUCACUUUAUUUACAAUCAUAUAAUCAUGUUUUAAGUAUUUUUUGGAACUCAUACCCUAACCCUAAAUGGAAGAAGUUAAAAGCGUAUAAAACAAUCUCUUUUAGUUGGAAUUCAAUGAUUUUAAAGCAAAAACAAAGUUUAAAUCAAUUGAAAACUUAUACAGUUAUUUUGUAUAAAAGCAUAAAUAACCUAAACAAAAGAGUAAAUAAAUUAUAACUAAAGUUUAAUUAACUUUUAUUCAUCAUUCCAUGUAUAAUUCCAUUUACAAUUAUAAAAAAUUGUGAGUUCUUCUUUUGACAUCGAUUUUAUUUAUAUAAAACAUAAAACUACAACAGAAGUUUAUAAAAUAAUAAAGAUACAACCAGUUGUGUUAGAAAAAACAUUAAUAAAAAAUUUGUUUACCAAUUUAGAUUUAAAAAAUCGUUCUGAUAUAUAUAUAUAUAUGUAUAUAUCAUGUAUAUUCAAAAAUAAAUAUAGAAAGUCUAAAUUUAAUUAAAAUCUAAAUAUAACAUAUAUAUUCAAAUAUAUUUAUCUUUGAACUAUUUUCUUACUCCCUAGAUGAUGAACGUUAAGAGUUACAUGUAAAUGUUUAGAGCAUCUUCAGCUCCAUCUUUUUACUCUAAAAUAGAGUUUGAAAUAAAAAAUAUUUCAAUCCUACUUUAUUUUAUACUCUAUUAUAGAGUAAAAAUAAAAUCAUUACAUUUUUUGUUCAUUUUUUCACUUUAAAAUAAAGCGGGAUUGUAGGAAACUCAACUCCACUCCAUUUUGAAGUAAUGUAGGGUAUUAAUUCAUUUUUCAUUUUUCUUCAUGAUCAAACUAGGUUCCUCUUAUAUUUUAGACAUGUAUUCUCGAAAUUUGAAAUUGUAAUGUUUGCUUACUUCCGAGGCUCAGAUCCCUUAACCUCUUAUUAAAGGAGAAGCUGUCAAAUGUGUUACCAAUACCUAAUAUUAAAAACACACCAGGUUUAUUUUUCUUUUUGAUCAAACACCAUGUUUACCCUUAUUGAGUUAUUGUCCAGUUCAUGUACUCUAAUAGUAACUGAAGGUAUUGCUGUAUAUAUAUGGUCAUUCUUUCAAAGGUGAUAGAGAUUGUGUCACAAAACUACGAACGAAUCUUUCACGAUACACUCUUAUAAAUUUAUGAAUAUGAUUUGAGUAAGAAAAAAAUUAUUCACGUGGGAUGAAAACGGUCAAGAAUUAAUGAAAACAAAACAAAAUUUAUGGGGAAAGUUAAUUGUGUAUAUACAAAAAAAAGUUACAAGAGAAUGAAGAACUAAGGCGGACACAAAUAACAAAAACCAAGCAAAAACACAUACAAACCAAAA